rnacentral:rRNA from 1 species
UCCCGCAACGAGCGCAACCCUUAUCCUUUGUUGCCAGCGGUUAGGCCGGGAACUCAAAGGAGACUGCCAGUGAUAAACUGGAGGAAGGUGGGGAUGACGUCAAGUCAUCAUGGCCCUUACGAGUAGGGCUACACACGUGCUACAAUGGCGUAUACAAAGAGAAGCGACCUCGCGAGAGCAAGCGGACCUCAUAAAGUAYGUCGUAGUCCGGAUUGGAGUCUGCAACUCGACUCCAUGAAGUCGGAAUCGCUAGUAAUCGUGGAUCAGAAUGCCACGGUGAAUACGUUCCCGGGCCUUGUACACACCGCCCGUCACACCAUGGGAGUGGGUUGCAAAAGAAGUAGGUAGCUUAACCUUCGGGAGGGCGCUUACCACUUUGUGAUUCAUGACUGGGGUGAAGUCGUAACAAGGUAACCGUAGGGGAACCUGCGGUUGGAUCACCUCCUUACCUUAAAGAA